GAAAUAUUUUAUAUUUAAGCUUCUAACUUAAAAUUUAGCUAUAUUGUUAGUAUUUCU
rnacentral:tRNA from 1 species